ensembl:lncRNA
AUGUGUAUGACAUCUCAUGUCCUCUUCCUUGAAAAAUCACAGCUCUCAGGAGAGCUGAGAGAGGAGAUGCAGCGACACAGAGACGCAGCGCAGAAAGCCGCCGGCCACAGGAGGUUGAAGGACGAUCCAAGAAUGGCCCAUGUGCAAAGCAUUCUGCAAAGUGUUCAGCUAAGAAAGACACCAACUUUGGAGGAGUUGCUUCAGGAGUCGGAAUGUUUGUAUUCCCAGAAGACCAGUGGUGGAUUAGUGUCUGAGGGUGAUUUUUUUUUAGAAACAUCGGAGGAUAGUUCGUCCCUCUCGCUACCACCCUCUUUAAGGAAAGGAAAGGAUGGGCUUUCUUUUUCUCCAGUGACAUCAAAAGUGUUAAGUUCCUCUUUCACUUCUAAUGUGACUCCUCAGCAGAGUUACCAUGAAGAUUGCCUUGUUGACCGACAUGACAGCCAACAGGGACCACAGCAAAGUUCCCCUCGUGGUGCGAUCCACCAGUCACCACCCUCGGGUGACGUGACCUUUGAGAAUGUCGAAAACGCCCUCAGUGUCUCCGGACUGAUUGAUGCCGGCAGCGAAAGCUGUGGCUUUGGCUCUUCAGAGGGAGCUCAUAGUAUGGGGGACUUUUUCCUUCACAGCACCUCGAACACAAUCACCAAGAUGCCAGAAAUUAUUUGCCACCCUCCCACAGACGGAGAGGAAAUGGAGAGGAGUGGCCUGGAGUUGUCCCUUUGUAAUAACUUCACAGCAGUAAAAGACAUUUGUUGCAUCUCAUUCCAGGAGGAUUCAGUCACGUGUGACCAUUUAACAGCAGACAAAUCUGACAGCAGUCAUUUGGAGAGCACAGAGAGUGGAGAUACCCCUCACUCUGCUGCAGCACUUGAGCUUGACAGAGAUCACAUUUUGGACAGAAGUGAGGACCCAGUCUCCUGGUCAGAAAACAGUGGCUCUCCGGAGAGUCUGGAGUUAUCAGAGACAUUAAGCGCUCAUUGCAAUCCAACAACACAACUGCAUAGUCACCAUGAACCCACAGAAACAGAACCAGCAGACAACGGUGUAGAUGAAGUAAAGCCAUCUGAGGGGCCUCAUCGUCUGAGCCUCCAGGCCUUGCUAAAGAAAUCUCAGGAGUAUCGGCGGCGCCAGCGGAUGCUUAGGAACCAAGCCAAAAACUCUUGCGUCAAGGAGAGGACUCAGGAGCCAAAACCAAGGCCAGAGGAGCAUAGCCUCUCUGAUAAGGAGAAUGACGAGUGCCCUUACAAGGGGAGUGUGACGAUGGAGGGGAAGAAAAGUAAAGAGAGGAGAGGCUCUUUAAGUCCAACAGUGGAGAAUUCCUCAUUAAAGAAAUCCUUGGAUAAUGAAAGAAUGAAUGAGAAUGAGUCCAUUGGGAAAAAGACCAACGUUAAAUCUGAAAGCAAUCAAUUAACGGGAGAUAUGAAUACUAAGGAAAUGAUAAGAGUUGAGGAAGAAACAACCUUCAAAAAUAAUAAGCUAAACAGUUCACAAGAGGUCAUAAUAGAGCCUGAGCAAAUCAGCGUCUUCAUCCAGCAGCAGCCUGAGUUGACAGAAGCCUCCCCAAUCCAGGAAGCCUUUUCCAUGACCAUUGAGCAGAGUGACAGCUGUCCCACAGGUAUUUUUCAAGGAGUAGGGAAACAUUACACUAUCCCAGUCCCUAAUUUCUGUAUGAGUCCUGUUCAUUCCAAAAGCAAAGGAAGUAUCAGAGAUGGAGAAACCAUUGAUGUAGCAGAAAACUCAAAGGGGAAAGUUGUAGACAAUACAAGCUUGAAUGAAGACCACAGUGUUGAAGAAGGAAGUAACCGGGGGGACACAGCAGUUCCUUCCUAUGUGAAUGGGAUGGUUCAAGGUGAUGUAACGGGCGUUUUAGCAAAGAGCUCAGAGUGCAUCGAUCAGCUUGAAACGAACCUCUCCAGUCUGAAUGUGCUGAUUUCAGAUCUGGAGUCCACGGUGAAGGAACACUUGGAGAAUCGCAGUCCGACUGAGAGCGACACGCAAAGCGAGCUCAGUUUUAAAGAUGUUGAGCACUCUGUGCAAAGUAAACACAACCUACAUGUGCAGCUAUGUCAACACGUGGGUGAUUAUUUGGAGGACAGGCUGGGGGACGAUGAUCCUGACAGCAGUGAUACAGAAUACAGGGACUUGCCAAGAAGACAAUCAUUCGACAAACGCAAAUACAUGAAUGAAGGUCCAGGGACUGAACCAGUCUUCAGUGACGCUGAUGACAAUCCUCUCAUCGUGCAGGGAAAAGGAAAAGAGGCAGUUAAUUUAAGAGAGAUAAGGCCAGUCAACGCCUUAGCUUCAGAGAGGCUAAAGGAAAACGGAACAGGUAACGAAGGAUUCACAAAGCGCGGUGGACUGCAUGGCAGCUGUAGAAAGCAGCAGCCACUUGCUAGAUGUUUCCUGUCUGCAGCACAGCGUAUGCGUAUUCCUGAUGCAUUCAGAAACAUCCCAUCCCACAUAAUGGUUCCGUGUAACCUGUCGAUGCUUUUGGACACCAGUAACCAUCCCGUAGAAAGGGGCCAAGACUCUCCCCUCUCGCCAUCUCUCAACCAGUCGUACGAUGUGGACGCGCCAUCUGGCCUGUGGCUCCUUGACGGGUCAGAGUCCGACUUCGGCUCCAAAGGUCAUCUUUUUCAAGAGAAGCACCAGACCCCGGAGAGCGGGGGCGAAGGUUGGGGCGGGGUAUCCAAGGUCAAACGCAGACUGCUCAUGCAUGUCACAGAAGAGACCAGGGAAAAGAGUGCAGAAACCAGUGGACGAGCAGGCUGUGUGGUCCGACCGAGCUCCAGCACUCCCACAGCUGCUUUGUGGUUGUACGAAGGCCACGGCUGCCGGAAAAACAAGCAGGAACUAUUGAAACAGGCCCAUGCCGCCCAGAUCAGAGUCCCUGCAAGACGAGCACAGGAGGCAACAGGAACAACUGCUACAGGCGCUUGCAGUGCGUUACCAUCACCAGAGCGUGUCCUUCCCCUGCUCUGUGUCAACCUCACGUCUCGGGGACGCACUGACCUUUUUAACCCUCUCUCAGCCCUCCACCCCGGCGUCAGAGCGCUGCCGCCAUCUGCUGUCAGCGGCCGUGAAGGGUUUUCUAACUCGCAGGCUGCUGAGGACGGAGAGAGUGGCACAGCAGGUGCGCACCAUCAGGGACACGCAGCAGUUCCUGCUUGCCCUCAAGCUGCAGAGCCCCAGCAGAGUGUUGUGUAG